rnacentral:rRNA from 1 species
UCUUUGCUGACGAGUGGCGGACGGUUGAGUAAUGUCUGGGAAACUGCCUGAUGGAGGGGGAUAACUACUGGAAACGGUAGCUAAUACCGCAUAACGUCGCAAGACCAAAGAGGGGGACCUUCGGGCCUCUUGCCAUCGGAUGUGCCCAGAUGGGAUUAGCUAGUAGGUGGGGUAACGGCUCACCUAGGCGACGAUCCCUAGCUGGUCUGAGAGGAUGACCAGCCACACUGGAACUGAGACACGGUCCAGACUCCUACGGGAGGCAGCAGUGGGGAAUAUUGCACAAUGGGCGCAAGCCUGAUGCAGCCAUGCCGCGUGUAUGAAGAAGGCCUUCGGGUUGUAAAGUACUUUCAGCGGGGAGGAAGGGAGUAAAGUUAAUACCUUUGCUCAUUGACGUUACCCGCAGAAGAAGCACCGGCUAACUCCGUGCCAGCAGCCGCGGUAAUACGGAGGGUGCAAGCGUUAAUCGG